ensembl:lncRNA
AGCUGACACAUUUUCUCUGCUCAUUAGAGCUGAGUGGCAGUGAAUUCCCUACAGCUGCGUGGGACAGUCCUGUAGCCUGCCCCACAAUCGUGUUCUCCUGCUACACAUUUGCUUGAGAGGGUUACGGUGGAUCCAGAGUCUAUCCCAGGAACACUGGGUGCAAGAUGGCGGGAAUACACCCUGGAUGGGAUGCAGAGCAUGUGAGCAGAGUGGAGCAGAUAGCGGAGCACUGAUAAUUCCACCUUUCUUAAGAUUCCGAAAACUGAGAAAUAGGCGGCUGUGGCUCAGUUGGUAGAGCGGGUUGCCUGCUAAUAGGGUUGGCGGUUCGAUUCCUGGCCCGGGUGACUCCACAUGUCGAAGUGUCCUUGGGCAAGACACUGUACCCCAAAUUGCUCCCGAUGGUAAGCUAGCAUGGCAACUCCUGCUACCACUGGGGUGUGUGUGUGAAUGGGUGAAUGAGACACAGUGUAAAGUGCUUUGGAUAAAAGUGCUAUAUAAGUGUGCCAUUUACCAUUUAAAUAGGAAUUAAAAAUUAAUAGAAAUGAAUAAAAGGCACAGAAUGUCACACACAAAAAUGAUUAUCUCUACUAAUGUAAUUGAGGCAUUUAUUCAAGAAAAUAGAAACAAGUAUAUUACAGAGAAAUUUUAUGUCAGAGCAGGAUUUGAGCGAACUUUGUUUUAUCGGUGAGCGUGAGCAGUACGAGUGGAGUGUUUGCUUGGGACGUGAGUGAUUGAGCAGAGCGCACUUGCAUAGAGCAGAUUAUUGAGUUCAGUGUCACACUGCUCCGUUUCACCCACAUGCUUUGAUGGGGUGCCAUGACACCAUGCUCGCACAUAUUUAUAUACUCAUGCAUGCUAAGGGGCAAUUUAUCUUAGCCUGACCACCUACUGGCAUGUUUUUGUGAGGUUGGAGGAAACUGGAGGAAACCCAGAGAGAACUGGCUUGAACCCUGGAGCUGUGAGGUGGCAAUGCUACCUGCUGAAACACCAUGCUACUUUUGUUGGGAACUCAACAUAUAAUAACAAGUACCUUCACCACUCCUGUUAGUACCCACCAAUUAAUUUCCAAUCUAUCCCCUGGACCCAGGCAUUUUGAAAGAGUUCUCAUAAUGCCCCUGUCUACACCUAUAAAGCUCAUCAUUCAUUCAUUUUCACUAACCACUUUAUCCUGGUCAAUGUUGUGCUGAAUUCAUAGCUCAUCCCUGGAACACUAGAAAUACACUCUGGAUGGGGCACCAGUAAAUCGCAGGACACCACAAACACAUCUGCAUACAUGAAUGUGCGUGGCAAUUAUAAAGAAAGAGUAGAGUGAGAGGAAACUAGAAGAAACCCACGUGGUCACAGGAAGAACACGUGAUUCUCCACACACAGUAAUGCGAGCUCAUGGUCAAACUGGGGAUAGUGGAACUGUGAGGCGGCACCGUUACCUGCUGCACCACUGUGUAAACCCCUUACAGAAGUCACAUAUUACUCGCACAAAUAAACAUGCAAUUCAGAAACUAAAUACACUGUAAAAUAAAGUUCACAUCCAUUGAACAUUCCCAUUUGUGCACGUGAAAACUAGUCUGUUAAUCACCGAGCCAACAGAUUUAGCCAAAGCAACGACACAGCCAGUGUCUUACAUCACAAUAAUUAAACAUCUUGAGUGUACACGAGGCCGUCUUUGACCAUGCUGUGAGUUUCAUCCUACUUUUUCUUACUCAGUCAGUAAAUUGCCACACAGCACACCACGGUUUCAUGUAGGCACCAAGCUGAAGCUGAACAUCAGUCUACUAGGCUUUUAUGUGAUGUGAGUAAAACACUAAUCCAUGCAAAUUGCAUAAUGAUAGGGGCACUGAUUUGCACAUUUGGUAGACUUUUAUGUCAGUGCAGUAAUCAUUUGCAGAGGCUGUAUGGUAGUAAAGCCAAAAAGCAGCUGUGGUGGCCGCAUAAAAGCCACUGACAGACACAAUAUUAGCCUUUGGGGGGAUAUCGACAUUCAUGCUGGUACUGCCUGUGCUGUUUAAAGUACCCAAUAGUCAUACUGAGAUAUUCUAUAUCUAUAUCUAUCUAUCUAUCUAUCUAUCUAU